ensembl:lncRNA
AGUAUUUGACUAUUUAGAUGACUGAAGAAGAUCUGGAUGAUCUACAUCUAGAUGAAGGAAUGUGCUUGAAUGACAUUUUCUGGACUUGGUCUUAAAUCCCACAGUAUGAAGGCAUGAUUAGAUGAGCCUAUGUAUUGGACCAAUGCAAAGCUGAAGUAUCCCAAGGCUUCACAGUGAUACGGUCUAUCAAGGAGUCUGUUAAGCUCUUUGGUGACUCGCUCACAGUUACAUCUUCCCCCACAGUGGUUCCUUUUGGUUGAAGACUGAUGUCACACAGAACAAAGACUUCUGAAUUACAUAUAAGAAGGUUCUACGGAAAUAAAUAAGAUGCAUUACUUUUGAAACAACUUAUGCAUGUGAUCCCCUGAAAGAUAGACUUACGACCCAUACCUUUGCAAUAUAGACCACACUGUGGUCUUCUCAUCUGAUGAAAUUUGAUAGAGGAAGGCCAUGAAGAUCCUACAAAGUUAAACUGAGGGAGAUGGUCUUGUUCAGUCUGGAGAAGAUAAAGCUUUGGGGAGAUCUCAUCAUGUCUUUCCAAUACGUAAAAGGGGCUUAUAAUCAGGAGGGAGACCAAUUCUUUACAUAGGUAGAUAGUUACAGGACAAGGUAGAACAGUUUUAAACUUAAAGAGGGGAAACUUAGAUAUUAGGAAGAAAUUUUUCACUCAGAGGGUGGUAAGGUGUUAGAACAGACUUCUUAGAGAAGCUGUGGAUGCCUGAGUCAUGGAGGUAUUCAAGGCCCGGUUGGACUGUGCUCUGAGCAACCUGAUCUAAUUCCUGAUUUAGUGGCUGCCAACCCUGAAAAUAGCAAGGGGGUUAUACACAGAUGAUCUUUGAUUUAUCUUCCAACCCAAACCACUUUAUAAUUCUAUGAUAUAGCUGGUUAUUUGUCAGGGGAAAACAAAUAUUUGCGUUAAUAAUCUUUUGUAAAAAUGUGUAUUGCAGUUUAAACCUCCAUGUCCUUGUUCAAAUAUGGUAUACUGUGAAUGGUGUGCAUACAUAGCACAUCACAUAUAUAUAAUCUACAUUUUUCAAAGCACAGUCAUAGCUCCUUCUAGGAGCUGCAGGUUUAAAAUAUUUCAGUAAAUAUUUACAGCAGCAAUUGAAAAGUUAGGUAGAGCAUUCCAGCAGUUAAAAUAAUUAGGUAAUUCCCAACUAGGAUGAUGCUAGAAAUGACCAAGCAUUGUGUAUGCUUAUAUUUUCACUCAUUGAGGAACUAAACUUUGAAAAGUAGGGGCUACCCAAGUCAUUCAGAACUAAAGGAGGGCUGUUAUUUUAAAAUGUGAAACCUUUUAUCUAAGUAAGCCAAUACGUAUCUAUUGUCACUGCUACAUCUUUGCUGCCGUGUACUGCUACUUUUAGUAGAAUUAGUAUUUUUUAUAUAGUGCUGUGCAGUCCCCUUGUUCUACUUUAAUGUCUAAAAGCUAGUCUGAAUGAGGACUUGAUAUACAAAAUCUUGGCUGAAUAAUUAACAAACAUAAAAGUUCCAAAUAUUCCAUGAAUUAGAACAUUCUGAUGCUUAAUAUCUGCUUGGAAUUUUUCUUUGUUCAUUUCUUUCUACAUGAAAAAUUUAAUUAUUGUACUUUUUUUUUUUUUUCCCAAACAUUUUGUAAAAGAUGUUUCUGUGCUAUUACUAUUGCAGUAAUGAACUGUCAUCUCAAAAAUAUCAUGUUUUAUCAUUCAGACUGAUGAAAAAUGGCUGAACUUCUAAGCUUAGCAUGUAUAGUAAAUAGACCUUGCUAAAGAGCACAUCUAUAGCUAAAUUCACUGUGAAAUGGAUUGUAUGUAACUGGAUGUGAUCAGAAGAUAUGUACCAGUCUAUUUUAUGUAGACUACAGCAAAUUUACCUUUCUGUAAAAAUUAUGGCAUAUAGAUCCUGUCAUCUGAAUAGAUCAGUUUGUUGCCUCGGGAACCAGAACUUAUGCUUCAAAUCUACAGUUUCAAAGUU